UACGUAGGGGGCAAGCGUUGUCCGGAUUUAUUGGGCGUAAAGAGCGUGUAGGCGGCCUGACAGGUCUGCUGUGAAAACUCGAGGCUCAACCUCGAGAUGUCGGCGGAAACCGUCUGGCUAGAGUCCGGAAGAGGAGAGUGGAAUUCCUGGUGUAGCGGUGAAAUGCGCAGAUAUCAGGAAGAACACCUAUGGCGAAGGCAGCUCUCUGGGACGGUACUGACGCUGAGACGCGAAAGCGUGGGGAGCGA
rnacentral:rRNA from 1 species